rnacentral:rRNA from 1 species
UUAUGCUGACAUGAGUAGCGACAAAGAGUGUGAGAAACACUCUCGCCGAAAAUCCAAGGGUUCCUGCGCAAGGCUAAUCCGCGCAGGGUGAGCCGGUCCCUAAGGCGAGGCCGACAGGCGUAGUCGAUGGGAACCAGGUUAAUAUUCCUGGGCCAGCUGGAUGUGACGUCCUAUGUAAGUUGUUCUCUCUUAUCGGAUUGAGAGGGCCGCGAAGUAGGGCCAGGAAAUAACGCCAGCAAUAGACCGUACCCUAAACCGACACAGGUGGAUUGGUAGAGAAUACCUAGGCGUUUGAGAGAACUAUGUUGAAGGAACUAGGCAAAUUACCCUCGUAACUUCGGGAUAAGAGGGCCUCUUUGAUGGGCAACCAUUUGAGAGGGGCACAGACCAGGGGGUUGCGACUGUUUACUAAAAACACAGGGCUCUGCGAAGUGGUCAACACGACGUAUAGGGUCUGACGCCUGCCCGGUGCCGGAAGGUUAAAAGGAGAUGUGCAAGCAUUGAAUUGAAGCCCCGGUAAACGGCGGCCGUAACGAUAACGGUCCUAAGGUAGCGAAAUUCCUUGUCGGGUAAGUUCCGACCUGCACGAAGGCGUAACGACUUCCCCGCUGUCUCCAACAUAGACUCAGCGAAAUUGAAAUCUCCGUGAAGAUGCGGAGUUCCCGCGGUUAGACGGAAAGACCCCGUGCACCUUUACUGCAACUUUUCAGUGGUACUAGACAAUGGAUGUGUAGGAUAGGUCGGAGGCUUUGAAGCUCGGGCGCUAGCUCGGGUGGAGCCAACGUUGAAAUACGACCCUUACGUUUUCUGGUAUCUAACCGCGUUCCAUUAGCUGGAACCGGGACACUGAAUGGUGGGCAGUUUGACUGGGGCGGUCGCCUCCGAAAGAGUAACGGAGGCGCGCGAUGGUGGGCUCAAGCCGGUCGGAAAUCGGCUGUUGAGUGCAAGAGCAUAAGCCCGCCUGACUGUGAGACUGACAAGUCGAGCAGAGACGAAAGUCGGUUCUAGUGAUCCGGUGGUUCUGAGUGGAAGGGCCAUCGCUCAACGGAUAAAAGGUACGCCGGGGAUAACAGGCUGAUACCCCCCAAGAGUCCACAUCGACGGGGGUGUUUGGCACCUCGAUGUCGGCUCAUCACAUCCUGGGGCUGGAGCAGGUCCCAAGGGUAUGGCUGUUCGCCAUUUAAAGUGGUACGUGAGCUGGGUUUAGAACGUCGUGAGACAGUUCGGUCCCUAUCUGCCGUGGGUGUAGGAAAUUUGAGAGGAUUUGUCCCUAGUACGAGAGGACCGGGAUGAACGUACCUCUGGUGUACCAGUUGUUCCGCCAGGAGCAUCGCUGGGUAGCUAUGUACGGACGGGAUAACCGCUGAAGGCAUCUAAGCGGGAAACCCACCUCAAAACGAGAUUUCCCUUGAGAACCGUGGUAGACCACCACGUUGAUAGGCUGGGUGUGGAAGCGCGGUGACGCGUGAAGCUAACCAGUACUAAUUGUUCCAAA